rnacentral:tRNA from 1 species
UUCUUCGUGGUGUAGUGGGUCAGCACGCUGGACGCGUAACCCAGAGGUCCGUGGUUCGAUUCCCGGCUAAGGCG